UACCUGAGGAGCUACUACUGUUUUCAAAUAAUGAGCCAUGUCACCAUUACCAAUGGAUGGUAAUUUUUGGCCAGGCACAUCAACCAAACACCGAAUCUCAGUGCUGCUAAUGGGGUAAAACAAGAUGGGAGAAGGAUCAGCCAAGACAACAUGGCCAUGGUUUGCAUGUGGAAGGUUGCAGUUUUCCAGAACUAGACCAACAAAAUGAGAUGGUACAUCAACCUGUACAAAUAAGUGUACUCAUCAUGUGUCAAGCAACAAUGAACUAUAAUUGAAAAAAGAUAAAACCAUGUAGGUGCAAUAACAAUAUGUUUGGAUCCACUUUUAUUCUUCUCAGAAUUGGUACCCUCUCCACAGAAGCUGCUCUUAGUAUGUGUUUGGUUCCACGUUUGAGAGUAUUAGAAUCACUUCUAAUUGACUAGAAUCACUUCUAGGUGGUUCUAUAGAUGUUUGGCAAUCAACUUACAUCAUGUUUGGAUUCACGUUUCAAAUCUUCCAAAAUCACUUCUACUAAAAUGCUACUAGUAGCUUCUCUCGGAAUAAAUUCUCCUUCCAACAUGACAAUCUACCGUGUAUCCAAACACACUUAAGAGAAUUGAUUUUGGGAGUGCAUAGAAGCUAGAAAUCAAUAGGGGGAGUAGCUUAUGUGGUGUACAUAUGAGAUUUCAUAACUGGAUUUCACAAAAUUAUCCUAUCGAAAUCACUUUUCCUAUUUUAAACGAAUCCAAACAAAAAUCAUUUCACUUUCAACUCACUUUUUACCAUAAUCAGAAUUACCAAAAUCAAUUUUAUCCAAAAUUUAUUCUGAGAACACUGAUCCAAACACAUGUGAAUCAACCUGAGUUCUUUUCUGAAGCACAUCUCCACAAACGUGUAAAUCUACCAAGUUUCCAAAUACACAUUAAACAAACAAUCAAUAAUCAGCAUGAUUACCUUUGGGUUGCAAAGAGAACGUCUCAAGUUGGAGAAACAACCAUCACAUACUAUGGUGAGAGGAGCCAUUGCUGUGAGCUCUUGUCCACUCUUGGUUUUGUAGAGCACCCCUUUGAUUGUCCCAUUUUCUUCAAGUAGAGAUGCGACAGUUCCUUGUUCUAACUUGACACUGCACAAAAUUGGAAGUAAGAAGGUGUUUUCCAAGAAUUUUUUUUAACUUCAGAAGCAAGGAAUCCUUUCAGGAAUGAAAAUAUGAUAAAAACUUGUACUUUGGAAGAGAUGAAGCCUUCUCUCGCAUUCUCUGAAUGAAACGGCCAUUGUGAAAGCUUCUCCCAGAGAUAUCAGAGUCAAAUUUUUUCAAGGGAUAGGAAAGUUUGGUAUUCUUCCCAUCCUUGUAAAGUGCAUAUCCAAAGACUCUCUGAGCAUCAAUUUCAUCCACACAAUCUGCAAUGACUCAUAACAAUCAUUUUUUAAGUGCCUUGAAUUUGUCCAGCAAAGGCAGAGGAAUUUGCAAAUUCAAUGGACUAAAAAUCCUCAUCUAUCAAAUUCUAAUUCUAAUAUAUGUGUGUCACAUUUGACAUGUUUCUUGCGUAGUUGCUUACCUUCAAGACCCAGCUCAAUUAGCUUAAGAUAACCUCCAGGUUGUAGCAAUUCACCCACAAUCCUAUCUGGUUCAGUUAGGUCCCUUUCAAUAACAUGCACUCUCCUUCCAUCCUGAAACAUGAAAUAAAACUCAAGAUCAUUGAUCACUUUAAAACAAUAAACAUAUGCUUCAUUGUGUAAAAUCCCCAAGGUUCUCCAAAACAUAUAUAUUUUCCACUUGGAUCCGGUUACAUAAGUACAAACAUAUCGAAAAGACAAAACUUGUGACACAAAGUGGAUCUCAUGCAGGUAGUUUUACCUUGCAUUUUUGGAAAAAAAUUGAUUCUACCGCUCGAACCUAUGACUGCAAAGUCACAUAGCAGCAACCUUAAGGUUGCGUUGAGCUCACCCUCAUGUACAAACAUAUAUAUUGAGAUAAAACUUAUUUGCAGGUUGUGACUCAAGAAAACUGUUUCAUUUCACAAACUUAAAAAAAAAAAAAAAAAAAACUUUCUACCUUUCCAAGCGUGUAAGCAAGGGCUGCACCAGCAACACCAGCACCCACAAUAACGAUAUCCACAUCUUCUGAAGCUUCUGUUGAGCAUUUUCCAUUUUCUGAUGUCCUUAUAAUUCGACCAUUACUUUCUUCCUGAAUUUUACUUGUGGCCUUCUUCUUAGCUGCAAAAGCAAAACCGUGCAAAGCAAACAAAAGAACCAAACUAGAAGCUGUAACACCCCGUUUUUAAUUAAAAUAAUGUUGGUAUUUUAUUUUAAUUAAGAUUAUAUUGUAUGGUGGUUUAAUAGGUGAUAUAAUAAUACUUUAAUGAAAUAAAAUAUUUUUUUUGUGAUGCUGGGUGUGUUUUAUGAAAUGGAAGAGAGCUAGGGGUGAAAGUUAGGAUUAAAAAUAGAGACAAGGACUAGGAGAGAUUUUAGGAUUUUUAGUUCAGCCCUUGAGGAAUUAGGUUUAGAUGGUUUAAUAAGGAUAGGGAAGCAGCUAAAAAAAAAAAAAUAAGAAAGAAGAUGACGCGUGAAAGAAGGAGAAAAAAAAAGAAGAAGGCUGUGCGUGAAGUAGCAGGAAGAGAGGGAGAGCGGAUCGGCUUCGGAGAAUUCGAACGGGAACGGGGAGCUGCACUCAAUCCAAAGGUAAGGGUGGGAUUUUGAGUUUCUAAUGGAAUUAUGGUGAAUGAUAUUAGGGAUUUGGGAGAUGUAGAAUUGUUUCUGUUAAUGAUGUUCUGGAAAUCUGAUUUGAAAUCCAUUGAUUUUGGGAUUUUCUUUUGUGUGAUUGAACGGGGUGAGGGCAGAACCAUAGUAUGCUAGGAGUUUUGGGUUGAGGUUCCCUUUUGAUUUUCUUUAUGAUCACGCACAUAAGGACUGUUAGGUAGCAUGCUUGUUAGGUUUUGUGUCUUGUUUGAUGAUAAACAACUUUAAUCACUUAUUUUGGAACAUAAAACGGACUGGUCAUUUUCCUGGUAUGAACCGUGACUUUCGAAGCCUUUUAGAGCCUGUUUAGAGUUCUCGAAUAAUGUUGCGUUGAACUGAGAAAGUGUAGGCCUUUGAAAGAGAUUUCUGGAAUGAUAUGGUACAUAAUUUUUGGUUGAGAGACGAGGUCUGUAAGUUCAGUUUAGUAAACCAUGUUUUUCUGCGCUCUGUAUCUGCUAUCUCUCCCAAUGAACUUCAACGUGAUUUUUCACCUUGUUAAUGUGCCCAGAAAAUUCUUUGAUGAACUAGAAAGAGGUGGAGUUUUCUGUUAGCUUUUCAAAUUGAGGUCAUUUGUAAUUUUUGAACAAGUAACGAAUCUUGUAGGUUAUCUCUACUGAAAUAUGUUUCUGCUGUGAGCGUAAUUCCUGAACUGCUAUAUGAUUUAUGCACGGAUUUGAUGAUGCUGUGCUGCUGUCCAAAAUUUCCUGGGCUGGACAGUACACUUCGAGACCUGUUUUCGCCCAGUUAGAGUGCUCAAAUGAGGAUGUGAUCAACUAAGAAAUUGUAGGACUUUAAGUUAGCUUUCUAGGCAUAUAAAAUACAUGAUUUUUGGUUCAGUAACGAAUUCAGGAGACCGCUUUUAGUGGCUGGUGUUCCUGCUGUUUUUCCAGAUUACGGAAAUUAUGAUUGUUUUGGAAAUAUAAUUAGAUUUAGCUUACAUGUUGUAUGAAAGUUAAUGUCUUUAUGUGCCAUGUAUUAGCUAUGAGGAUGAUGCAUGUGGCUGAACACCUUUAGCAUGAAAUCCAUAAUUUAUUUACCAUAUGUGAUAGCUUCUUCCAUGAUUGCAUGCUUAAGUGAGUUGUUUCAUUGAUUUGGUGCCAAAAUUGCCUAAGAUGUCAGGGUAAUUGUAUAGUUGAUAAAAAUGCAUGUGUGCUGAAUUGUGUUGUUUUAAGCGAUGUUAGUGAUGUAGUGAUAUAGGCGCAAUGCCUCAUGUCGAAGUGAUGAUUAUGAGAUGUAUACGUCCUUUUGAGUCGCAUAGCAUCUGCAUACUCUGUGAUGGCCUGUAUUGGCGAUUUGUGAUGAAGGCUUAUGCCUUGUGCCUCCAAUAAUUGGCAAUUAGUGAUGAGGGCUGAAGCCUUGUUGGUACCACAUACAUAUGCAUAGUCAUUGUUGUGUUCGAAUUGUAUCCGAGUCGAUGAUGUUAUUUGUGACUGUUUUAGUAACUGAGCUAUAUGAAUAUAAAAAGAAGUGGUGUGGCAUUAAUCUAGCAUAUUUAUUGCCAUUCUUAUAUUUAUGAUACUCGAUAUCUCACCCCUUCUGUUUGAAUGUUACCCUUGUUGGUAACGUGCAGGUAAUCAGGAGGAGUAGUCUAUAGCCUUUAUUUCGAGUUGGAGUCCUUGCUCUGAUACGUAGCACUCGGGGGGGAAAUGGACGCUUGUUUUCCUUCUGUUAUAAUUUGAAUUAAGUUGUUAUUUGAGAAGUUGUUUCUGUUUUAAGUUGUGGGCAAGAUACUAUGUUUUCUUUAAGUUUUAAAGACAUUGGAUUCGCUGCAUAACUAUUUGUCAAAGUGAACUAGUUCAAAGACUAAUUAACUGUCACAAGAGCAUUUAAGUUUAUUUAUGAGUUCAUCUCAAAGUUUAUGUGCUAUGUAUCUGUUACAAGAGCAUUAUGUUAAUGUUUUAAGUGAUUAUGUAAUGCCUCAUGAGUGUUAAAAUUUUUAUCACUCUGAUAUUUGCAAUACAUAUGCCGUUUAGAAUUGGGGUGUUACAUUAGUGGUAUCAGAGCAAUGGUUGGUCAGAGACCAAGUUUUUAGUAUAAUAUAUAUUCUAAUACUUACUGAUACUCGAUAUGUGUAAGUAGCACUAUCGAGCUGUUGUUUGAUAAGAGUUGUUGGCUGUUUGGAGAUUCAGGAAAAUGGUUGCCGGAAGGAAUGAUGAAGCUAUCGCUGAGGCAUUGGCAAUGUUGGCUGGCGCCAUUGGGCAAGGUCAGCAAGCGAACCUUGGGAACCAUAAUCAGGAUGAAUUCCGUGCUUUGGGAAAGUUUCAGAGGAACAAUCCGCCAACCUUUGAAGGAGCAUACGACCCUGACAAAGCACAGGCAUGGCUGAAAGCAAUUGAGAAGAUCUUUCGAGUCAUGAAUUGUACUGACGCGCAGAAGGUGCAGUUUGGCACCCAUAUGCUUGAGAAAGAAGCUGAAGAUUGGUGGGACAACACUGUUCAGAGGUUUGAAGGUGAUGGGAUGGAGAUUACUUGGGAUAUUUUCAAGGGUGCAUUUCUGGAGAAGUACUAUCCAGAAGAUGUGCGUGGAAAGAAGGAAAUUGAGUUUCUUGAACUGAAGCAGGGUAAUGGAACCGUGGCGGAGUAUGCUACAAAGUUUGAGGAAUUGAUUAAGUUUUGUCCCCACUACAAUACUGCCGAAGCUGAGAGAUCUAAGUGUAACAAGUUUGUGAAUGGUUUGAGACCUGAGAUCAAGAAUGUUGUGGGAUAUCAACAGAUUAUCCGAUUUUCUGACCUGGUUAAUAGGAGUAGGAUAUAUGAUGAGGAUAGCAGGGAAAGUGCUGCUCACUACAAGUCUUUGAAAGAGAAGAAAGAAAAGGGGCAAUUCAGAGGGAAACCGUAUGGGAAUCCUGCUAAUAAGGGUAAACAAGAAGCUGGUCAUGACAAGAAGCCGAGUGGGGGAGGAGCUCCUAAUCCGGUUAGGUGCUACAAGUGUGGUGUUGAAGGACAUCGUUCUCCUGAAUGUCCCAAUUCAGAAGCAACAUGAUUUAAGUGUGGCAAGCUGGGCCACAAAUCCUUUGAGUGCCUAGAAGGUAAAACUGUGGCAUGCUACAGAUGUGGAGAGUAAGGUCACAUCAGUACUAAUUGUGAAAAACCCAAGAAGGAUCCUGCAAGGGGGAAGGUGUUUGCUUUAUCUGGUGCUGAGACUACUGCUGAGGAUAGACUAAUUCGAAGUACGUGCUUUAUUAAUGGUACAUCUUUGAUUGCCAUUAUUAUUAUGGGUGUGAUGCAUUCUUUAUUUCAUUGGAGCUUGAGAGUCAGAUGAGGGAGUCCUACCCGAAUUGUUCGUUUAAGGAAAUUUUCGAGGGCGAAAAUUCUUAAGUGGGGGAGAGUUGUAACACCCCGUUUUUAAUUAAAAUAAUGUUGGUAUUUUAUUUUAAUUAAGAUUAUAUUGUAUGGUGGUUUAAUAGGUGAUAUAAUAAUACUUUAAUGAAAUAAAAUAUUUUUUUUGUGAUGCUGGGUGUGUUUUAUGAAAUGGAAGAGAGCUAGGGGUGAAAGUUAGGAUUAAAAAUAGAGACAAGGACUAGGAGAGAUUUUAGGAUUUUUAGUUCAGCCCUUGAGGAAUUAGGUUUAGAUGGUUUAAUAAGGAUAGGGAAGCAGCUAAAGAAAAAAAAAUAAGAAAGAAGAUGACGCGUGAAAGAAGGAGAAAAAAAAAAGAAGAAGGCUGUGCGUGAAGUAGCAGGAAGAGAGGGAGAGCGGAUCGGCUUCGGAGAAUUCGAACGGGAACGGGGAGCUGCACUCAAUCCAAAGGUAAGGGUGGGAUUUUGAGUUUCUAAUGGAAUUAUGGUGAAUGAUAUUAGGGAUUUGGGAGAUGUAGAAUUGUUUCUGUUAAUGAUGUUCUGGAAAUCUGAUUUGAAAUCCAUUGAUUUUGGGAUUUUCUUUUGUGUGAUUGAACGGGGUGAGGGCAGAACCAUAGUAUGCUAGGAGUUUUGGGUUGAGGUUCCCUUUUGAUUUUCUUUAUGAUCACGCACAUAAGGACUGUUAGGUAGCAUGCUUGUUAGGUUUUGUGUCUUGUUUGAUGAUAAACAACUUUAAUCACUUAUUUUGGAACAUAAAACGGACUGGUCAUUUUCCUGGUAUGAACCGUGACUUUCGAAGCCUUUUAGAGCCUGUUUAGAGUUCUCGAAUAAUGUUGCGUUGAACUGAGAAAGUGUAGGCCUUUGAAAGAGCUUUCUGGAAUGAUAUGGUACAUAAUUUUUGGUUGAGAGACGAGGUCUGUAAGUUCAGUUUAGUAAACCAUGUUUUUCUGCGCUCUGUAUCUGCUAUCUCUCCCAAUGAACUUCAACGUGAUUUUUCACCUUGUUAAUGUGCCCAGAAAAUUCUUUGAUGAACUAGAAAGAGGUGGAGUUUUCUGUUAGCUUUUCAAAUUGAGGUCAUUUGUAAUUUUUGAACAAGUAACGAAUCUUGUAGGUUAUCUCUACUGAAAUAUGCUUCUGCUGUGAGCGUAAUUCCUGAACUGCUAUAUGAUUUAUGCACGGAUUUGAUGAUGCUGUGCUGCUGUCCAAAAUUUCCUGGGCUGGACAGUACACUUCGAGACCUGUUUUCGCCCAGUUAGAGUGCUCAAAUGAGGAUGUGAUCAACUAAGAAAUUGUAGGACUUUAAGUUAGCUUUCUAGGCAUAUAAAAUACAUGAUUUUUGGUUCAGUAACGAAUUCAGGAGACCGCUUUUAGUGGCUGGUGUUCCUGCUGUUUUUCCAGAUUACGGAAAUUAUGAUUGUUUUGGAAAUAUAAUUAGAUUUAGCUUACAUGUUGUAUGAAAGUUAAUGUCUUUAUGUGCCAUGUAUUAGCUAUGAGGAUGAUGCAUGUGGCUGAACACCUUUAGCAUGAAAUCCAUAAUUUAUUUACCAUAUGUGAUAGCUUCUUCCAUGAUUGCAUGCUUAAGUGAGUUGUUUCAUUGAUUUGGUGCCAAAAUUGCCUAAGAUGUCAGGGUAAUUGUAUAGUUGAUAAAAAUGCAUGUGUGCUGAAUUGUGUUGUUUUAAGCGAUGUUAGUGAUGUAGUGAUAUAGGCGCAAUGCCUCAUGUCGAAGUGAUGAUUAUGAGAUGUAUACGUCCUUUUGAGUCGCAUAGCAUCUGCAUACUCUGUGAUGGCCUGUAUUGGCGAUUUGUGAUGAAGGCUUAUGCCUUGUGCCUCCAAUAAUUGGCAAUUAGUGAUGAGGGCUGAAGCCUUGUUGGUACCACAUACAUAUGCAUAGUCAUUGUUGUGUUCGAAUUGUAUCCGAGUCGAUGACGUUAUUUGUGACUGUUUUAGUAACUGAGCUAUAUGAAUAUAAAAAGAAGUGGUGUGGCAUUAAUCUAGCAUAUUUAUUGCCAUUCUUAUAUUUAUGAUACUCGAUAUCUCACCCCUUCUGUUUGAAUGUUACCCUUGUUGGUAACGUGCAGGUAAUCAGGAGGAGUAGUCUAUAGCCUUUAUUUCGAGUUGGAGUCCUUGCUCUGAUACGUAGCACUCGGGGGGGAAAUGGACGCUUGUUUUCCUUCUGUUAUAAUUUGAAUUAAGUUGUUAUUUGAGAAGUUGUUUCUGUUUUAAGUUGUGGGCAAGAUACUAUGUUUUCUUUAAGUUUUAAAGACAUUGGAUUCGCUGCAUAACUAUUUGUCAAAGUGAACUAGUUCAAAGACUAAUUAACUGUCACAAGAGCAUUUAAGUUUAUUUAUGAGUUCAUCUCAAAGUUUAUGUGCUAUGUAUCUGUUACAAGAGCAUUAUGUUAAUGUUUUAAGUGAUUAUGUAAUGCCUCAUGAGUGUUAAAAUUUUUAUCACUCUGAUAUUUGUAAUACAUAUGCCGUUUAAAAUUGGGGUGUUACAGAAGCUACAAUCCCUCCCAGAAUAUAAUGAUAAUCCAUCGAAAUGGAUUGGUGAAGCUGUAUAAAUUUCAGAAGUAAAGGAAAGAUAAUUAAGAAGAAAGGUGGUAAUGAAAAAAAAGAGUUUGAUUAUCUAGUUUCUUGGGAGUCCUUCCUUAUAAGGGAAAGUGGUUGAAUAUAAGUACAUCAUAUACUUGUUUUCUUUUUCUUUAUUUUUUUUAUAUAGGAGCCAAAAAUUCAAUUAAUUUCCAACUUUACCACCGAUAAUGCUUUUUAAUUAUUUCGCUUUCAUUUCAUUCUCAAGUCCCGGAAAUUUGGAAGCAUUUGGAGCAAUGAUAAUGGCGGUUGCAGCUAUUUGUUUGUAUACAUGUGGUAAAUGUUGGUUGGGGAAUCAUACUAGAAACCAGAAACUUAAGGGUAGCAGAUAGAAAUUAAUUCAAACUAGUACACUCAAAAUAUUGUCCUUAUGGUAUCCAUGUGCGACACCGUUAUUUAAACAGAAAUAUAAAUAAAUGAACUAUCCGGAGACCAAAAAAUAAAUGUAAAAAGCGCCAUUAACCAAGGCCAAGGCCACCAAUUUAAUAUCAGCUGAGAAGUAAAUAAAAGAUAAGAGGCUGCACAUAGCACAAUAGGUUAUGCUUCAAACCAGAAUCCCAUGCCAUGACUAUGAAAAUUCAACUAAAUGUGGAAACACUCGCCGUCUCCAUAAUUCCAAUUAAACCCAUGUGGUAGCAACUUAGCAUAACCAAAAAAAAGUAUCUUUUGCAAUGCAAAUUGCCAAGCAAUAAGGUUACACAGCAAAAUUGUCCAAACCAUUCCACCAAAACCCUUAACAGAAAAAUACAAUUUUUAGUUAAAAUUUUCAUAUGACUAUGCAGUUUGCAUUGAACACACAACUUAGCAAGUAGUUCAAGCUAGUUCCAGAUAUUUUAACAUAAUAAACAAACUCAUCACUCAUUUAUAUAACAAGCUUCAAUAUUUUCAAGAAUACUUAAGCUUAAGCACAAAAGGAGCAAGAUCCAAAAAAGGGGUUAAGUUAUAAUCCACUAAGAAUCUUAAACAGAUCCAAUUGAGCUAAUGAUAUAACUUAGAAGGAAUCAAAUGGUAAAUGAUGAAACUUUAGCAUAAAAAUGUAAUCUUUACUACAUGGAGUUCAUGAAGUGUUCUCACUCUGAGCUGAGCUGUGACUGAGAGAGAUUCAGAUACCACCGACUGAAUUUAGAUUCUGUCAUUCAUACUAUUUUAUUUUUAUUUUUUAUUUUUAUUUUAUCUGUUUUUGGAUAAUUUGUUUAUUCCACUUGUGUUUGUGUGUCUUGCAAUCUUUUCUCCUCACUUUCCGUGUCAUUUCAUUUUUAAAUUGAUUUCGGGGUUAAGUUGUUUGAUUUUUUUUUUAAAAAAUCAACUUUAUUCGGUCACCUUCGGAUGCCGACUAUUCAUAAUUCAGAAGAAUAUAGUUACAUGUAAAGUUUUUCAUUCCUCCCAAUGUGUAUUGAGUGAGAAUUGAAUUCGAUAGUAAGUCAUCAAAAAAGUACCAACGCGUUUCAUUUAAAAAAGUAUUUAAACUUAGUAUAUGGUAGAGUAUAAUCCUUGAUUUAUUUAUAUGGCCCACAAGGAAGUCUUGAUCUUUGUUGCUUUUAAGUGAAAAUAUAUUAGUAAUUAAAAGAUAUCUAAAUGUAUAUGCUUGAAAACAACAUGUGAUUAGUUCAAAUUUUACAUAUUUAAUUUCUCUUAAGUAAAGUUUCGAGUUCGAUACGAAAGAAAAUUCUGUUGAGGAAGCUACCCUAACAAAAUGUGGUUGUUCCCAACUUUAAGAUUGACUCACUUAAUACAUGUGCUUAGAAAAAAAAAAUGUAUGUGAAAAAAAAAAGAUGUUAUUUUCUCCAACAUCUAAGGUGCAAAUACAUUUAUGUAGAGUAUAAGGAUGAAGAAAGCCCUUUGGAGAGAACAAUGCUUAUUGUUGCAUGCCUGCAUUAUCGAUGAUCUCAACUCUCAACUCUCACCAACAUAGGAAGCAGAACAAAACAGAGACAGAUUGUCUUCACAAGGAAACAAAUAACAUGCACUCUCAAACAAACCGAAUAUUCAUUCUGCUUCUAAUACAUUCCAUAUUACAAAUAAAUAAUCUUUAUGGCUAUGACUCUAUGAGGAUGGUGGAGCUUUGGCUUCAACAAUAACAAGAACAAAAAUAACACGGUUGUUCCUCAUACUAAGCGGUUUCAAUGGGGGAGCAUUAUGAGUGCUGUGAAACCAAGUUCUUCAUACGCAUUCUGACAGUAGCACUGCUUGUUAUAUUCGCUGGAUUGAUGUCAGGCCUUACCUUAGGCCUCAUGUCAUUGAGUCUUGUUGAUCUUGAAGUCCUUGCUAAGUCUGGUACCCCACUUGAUCGCAAGCAUGCUGGUAAUUUCUGUCAUUCAGAGCAUGAAGCUUUUUUCAAUCACAGCCUCAUUCUUUCCCUUACCAAGUUAUUCUUAGCUACUGAACCUUCUAUCCGUGUGUUUUCUCUUAUCUGACAGAUCUUUGUCAUUGUAGAAAUAGGAAGCACAUUGUUCUGGACAUUAUGAAGUUAUUGAAUCUACAGCUUUUUUUAUAUACUUGUGUUUUUGUCAUUACAGCGAAGAUAUUGCCUGUUGUCAGAAAUCAGCACCUAUUGCUUUGCACCCUUCUAAUUUGUAAUGCUGCAGCCAUGGAGGUACAAGAUCAACUAAACUCAUUUACUAGUUUGUAUUUAAUCAAAUGGAUACACUAACAUUAAAUAUAAGUGUUUCUUUUAUCAGGCACUUCCAAUAUUUCUUGAUAGUCUUAUUGAUGCAUUUGGUGCGGUCCUCAUUUCAGUGACAUUGAUUCUUUUGUUUGGUGAGGUGAGAAAGUUUUCCACCUUAAAUCUUGAAUCAAUUAUGAAACUCAGAAGCUACUAUGCUUCUCCCAUAAUUGGUUUAGUCGGAAUCAAUUGUAGAAAGGUUUCCAGACAUACAUUGUUUACUAUGUAUCUCUGACAUCCAUUUAUUUCUUUGAAGAUUAUACCCCAAUCAAUUUGUUCAAGAUAUGGUUUAGCAAUUGGUGCAGCAGUGGCUCCAUUUGUCCGUGUUCUGAUGUGGAUAUGUUUUCCUGUUGCCUAUCCUAUCAGCAAGGUAACACACAUUGAGUUGAAUUUUCUUAUCAGUAGUUUGUAAUCCUUAUUUUCAUAAACAUGAACCUGGGGCAUUUGGUGCAUCAUUUCAGCUGUUGUUUCUUAAUUUCCUUUUCCUUCUUGGAUUUUGGUGCAUCAUUUCAGCUGUUGGACAUCGUGCUAGGGCAUCGUCGUCAAGCUCUUUUCCGCAGAGCUGAGUUGAAAACACUUGUAAAUUUGCAUGGUAACAAGGUCAGUAUUGGAGCCUAAACCUACCUAUAACCUAUUUUCAGCUUAUUAAAUUUGCUUAUGAAUAAACGCUUAUUAAGCGUUCAAUUAAACUGCUUAGCCAAACACACACUUGUUUUGUACUCAUCUUGUUAUUAUCAGAAUGCUGCUGUUCUCGAUCUACCUUUUACUUUCCAAUGUAAUUCACCUUAUGUCACUGAGAGUUUUCUUAUCUUCUUCUGUACUGGUUAUUUAGACUUCUUCACUUGGAAACUCAUGCUAUCUUAUCCUUGUUGCUUCUUCUCUAUGAUGAAUUGUAAUAGGCUGGGAAAGGUGGGGAACUGUCACACCAUGAAACAACAAUCAUUUCUGGGGCACUUGAACUCUCUGAGAAGACAGCCAGUGAUGCCAUGACCCCUUUAGCUGAAACAUUUUCUAUUGAUAUUAAUUCAAUUUUUGAUAGGUAAUGUGUGUCAAAAAAAUAUAAAAUGCUAGCUAGUCUUUGUUUCUUACACAACUUUCUGUCAUUAAAUUAAAUUUAUGUUAUUAAGCAGGAAUCUGAUGAAUCUAAUAUUGGAGGAAGGGCACAGCAGAGUCCCUGUCUAUUAUGAGGAUUCUACAAAUAUUAUUGGACUUAUCCUGGUACAUGGGGUUAUAUUUUUCUUUAACCCUUCAAUAUUGAACAGUCAUUUUCCAUCAGAUUGAAACCUGUUGUAUAAAACCAACCACACACAGUUUAGAUGUACCUAUUUUAAUUCAACAUAUCAACUUUCCUUGAAAGAUUUUAAUGUUAUCAUAAAUUAUUUUUUCUUUUCAUCUUAAUCUUAGGUCAAGAAUUUAUUGACAAUUGACCCAGAAGAUGAAACACCAGUGAAAAAUGUGACCAUACGCAAAAUACCAAGGUAUUUUGUACAUGUCUUGUAGUUUUAAUGCCAUUAUAUUACUAAAGAUUCAUAUUGAAAAUUUACAAAUAUUGACAGGGUACCAGAAAUGAUGCCACUGUAUGAUAUUUUGAAUGAGUUCCAAAAGGGCCAUAGCCACAUGGCCAUUGUUGUUAGACAUUGUGACAAGACAGGGCAGCAAUCUUCCAAUGGUAAGCACAUGAUUAUGGUGUGUUUGUAUUUUUGUCGGCACACAUUUCAAUACUUUUUGAAUGUGUUUUUUGUCAAUCCAUGUCUCUCGUGUCAUUAGACCAACUUAAUGUAAAUACAACGACACACACGUAAUCCAUUUAAACUAUUUAUCUUUUGCUAACAUUCUAUUUAGACUCUCUUUGAUCCUACAAAUUUCUUUCAUAUCCUGAGAAGUGUUCCCUUUCUCUGUGCAUGUGAAAUAGACAUUGUAAGAGAUGUGAGGGUGGAUAUUGAUAGGGAGAAGCCUUCCCAAGAGAGAAUGUUGAGAAUUAGGAGACAACUCCAUGCGAGGAAAAGCUAUAGAUAUGCAAGUAAUUCGUAUAGGAGUGGUUCUAUGAGCAAAAAAUGGUCAGAGAAUAUGUACUCAGACAUUGUGGAAUUAGAUGAAAAUUCACUUCCAAAGCUUCCCCCAAAAGAAGAAGAAGCUGUUGGAAUAAUUACAAUGGAAGAUGUCAUUGAACAGCUUUUGCAGGUAAUAAGAACAAUUUUGUUAAGUGUUAACCCUUGAAAUCUUAUUGAACCCUUUGUAUUAAUAAUAUUAUUGUUUCUAUGUAGGAGGAGAUCUUUGAUGAGACAGAUCAUCAUUUUGAAGACUCUUAACUUGACAGUGUUCUUUCAAUAAAACCAAUUGCCUUUUACAUUCUUCUCUUGGUGUUUAGAUUCAUACUUUGGGGCAUCUGGAUUCUGGAAUGUGACUAGCCAUUACACAUACAACUAAUUAAAAUUUAGAAGAUUUAGAUAACAUCAAAAGAAAAAGUUCAUGUAAGGAUGUAUUAUUAUUGUAAUAUAUUUUGAGCUUUUAAUUGAUUGUGUCUAUAGACACUUGUGCUUAUUGUAUGCUCACAACAAAUUUUCUUUGUCGGAGUACUAGCAAUAAAGGGAAAAAAGAUUAGGCAGCAUAUGUGAUACAAAUAAGUGCAUAUUUGUUUUUGCAAGGUAAAUGCGAUUUCGCGUAUCUCAACGCAUUAUUUGUCAUAUUGAGUUUAACUUCGAUCAGUUAUAAUUUGAUUUACGUUGAAUUCAACAGAAAUCCAAAGACACUCUAAAAAUAAACAAAUCAGAUGUUAGAAAUAAAUUUACUCUAUUUCCUCUGAUGUCAAAGUUCAUUGAAACAAAUCUUAGCCAUCGUCGGAGCUCCUCUACCAGAGCUGACCCCAGUCCUCCACUGCGCCGCCCGCAACAUUGAUUUUAUAUUCUUUUUAUAGGUAAAUGUUAGUUGUUAGUAAUGUUAGAAAGUAAUCUCUCCUCAGUGUUCAAACCCUGCAUCUUUCACCCUUCAUCCCACCGUAUUAUUAUGUUUCAUAACUCUUACCACUUGAGUCAUCGAGAUCCUGAUUGCGAAGGAAAAAGAGCGAAGUGAGUGAAAGAUAAAUGAAAAUGAAAACCGGGGGUAUUUAUGUAUUUUCCCAAAAAAAUUGGGGCUUUUGUAUAAGAGAAACAGAGAGAGAGGGGGAAACAAAACGAAGAUUGAAAUUGAAGCCUGAAGAGAUCGUUGGACGGUGCCCGACGCAGACAGAGACAAGGUGCGUCGAUUAUUUUCCCCAAUUUUGUAUUUUGAGUUCUUCUCUAAUUCUCUGGGUUUGCAAAGAUUCCGACUUUACUGCUGUAUUUGAUCUCUGAUUCUUCCUCCGUGAAAAAAUUGGGUUUUGAUUUUUACUCAAUUUUGCAUCUUUCUUGCCUGAAAUUUCCACCCUUUAUAGCUUGGAAGUUGGAACCAUUUUGUGGGAUGAUGAAAUUCUGGGGUUUACUGUAUUGGGCUAGAACAUGGUUAGAUUUUUAUUUUUUGGUGUGAAUUUUAGGGUCCAAUGUUGAUGAUACUUUGAGUGCUACUUUUGUAAUUAACUAGAAGUUUGAUUAAUAAUUUACACUAAGAGAACUUUGGAAACUAGAAAAAUGUCAGUGAUAUAUGAAAUAAUGGUUGUUUGUGAAUUAUCCCCUCGGAACACGAAACAUCACACACACCACACUGAAGUUGUUUCUUAAAUUUUUAUUGAAGUCAUUCAUUUGUUUAAAAUAUUAUUUUUAGAAUUCUUUGUUUUAUUUUUGGGUGACAUGAUCAGAUGGAUCUGGAGAGUGAAAACAGACUAGCUGCUAUGCUUAUGAGGGAAGCAGCUGAGUUGCGGCGGCAGGCUGAAAAAGAAGGUGUUCUGGCUUAUCUUAGUAAGCCUAAUGUCCGGAAUCGGCCAAAUUCACGCUUCCUCACUGCUACUGUACUUGGGGUACAACAAUGUUAGUCACUAAUUUUACUGGUUAUUAUUGCUUUACAUUGCCUUGUGUUUUAUGGCUGUGCUUUUGAGAAAGUUUUAGGAUUUUGUGGGAACUAGGAAAUAAUAUUUUAUAUGCCUGUCAUUUAAUUGAUCUGUUUGGUGAAUGUGGGUAUCUUUUGAGUUUAAAACAUUCAUAUUCAUUGUUUUUUUAUUAGAGUGGGGGGUGGGUUUAGAAGAAGACAGGGGGGGAAACAUUUACCAUUACAUAUUAUACAGACAUAUUGGAGAGCUUUAUUCGACUUAUGGGCUUUGUUCCAUCUUUUUUCCUAUUCUUUGCUUACUUACAGAGAUCAUCCAGAAUGUUUGUCUCUCUUGUUUUUCCUUGGCUAUAUUGUCUAAUUUAUUCUGACUUUCUCUUUCUUAUUAUAUGCAAAGACAAUGGGUUGGGUAUGGUUUGAGUUCUUUAGAAGUGGGCUUUCUUCUUUCUAGUGUCUUCACAUGCACUGUGUGCGUCUAGUAUUCAUGGGUGAUAUAUGUGACUGCUUUCUCUGUCCAAGAUGUGUAUCCUCUACUCGUACUCAUGGGUUACGUACUUGGUACACUUGCCGUACUUUGUUUAUCAGGGUUUAUAGGAUUUAGGUUGGGAUGCACUUCAGAAAGAAAUGUAUGGAAUUAUAACCAUUGACGUGGUCAAGAUCACCAUUUUUCUUGCAAGAUCACACUAUCUUACUAUCUAUUGAUCCUGAUCACAGUCAUUGGUUUCACUUUGGUGCUGGUAGUUUAUCUAUAUUAAUGAAAUUGAAUUUCUUUUGGUGCUUUCCCCCAGCUAAUCGAGUUGUGGAAGUAAAUGAGAUGUGGCGAGUACGGCAAAAAGAAAAAGAGCUGGAUGAACGGGUUAGAGGUACAUCAUCAGAUAAAAGCAGUGGAGACAGAAGCCAUAGGGAUGAUAAAACAUCAAGAAGUUCCAUUGGUAAUAGCACUAGAACAUCUGCUUCAUGCUCAAGUAAAAGACAAUUUGAGAUGGAGGUUAAAGACACAUCAAAAGAUAAAAAUUCAAGUGACAGAAGCCACAGGGAUAGUAAAUUGUUAGGAAGAACCGGAAGACAUGCUGUAAUCGAUGAAAGCACUAGUGCUUCUGCUUCAUGCUUAAAUAAAAGAGGACAUGAGCAUCCUCCAGAAGGUUUAAAGGAUGAAGAGCUUGAGGAGUUUCUCCACUCAAGGUUUUACUUUUAUGCAUUCUGGUGUUUUUAUAUGCAUGCAUGCCUUAAUAUAAUUCUCUCUCUCUCUCUAUAUUGAAUUUAGAACUAAGGAAGCUCCAUAUUGGUGCAGGACCAAGCGAGGCAGAGGCGCUGUUGGUCCAAGAAUGGAUGAGACUGGGCCUUACCUUCCUCCUCAUACAGAUGGGGAGUUUCUCCACUCAAGGUUUUACUUUUAUGCAUUCUGGUGUUUUUAUAUGCAUGCAUGCCUUAAUAUAAUUCUCUCUCUCUCUCUCUCUAUAUUGAAUUUAGAACUAAGGAAGCUCCAUAUUGGUGCAGGACCAAGCGAGGCAGAGGCGCUGUUGGUCCAAGAAUGGAUGAGACUGGGCCUUACCUUCCUCCUCAUACAGAUGGGGAGCCUAGUACUAGUCCUGAUGCAAGGGAACGCCGUCGGGUUAUUUACGGUCCGGAGAUGCCUUCAUCAUUGAAGUUAUAUGAAUCCUCUGAGGAGGAGACUGAUGAAGACAGGCGGAGAAAGAGUAAAAAGUCUCGCUCUAGCUGCUCAGACAAGGAGCAUUCUGAGAAGCGCAAGUCCAAGAAGAAAUCUAAGCAUAAGAAAAAGAAAAGGGACGAGAAAAGAAGUAAACAUCAUCAUCGGUAAUGCUGUUGUGUAAUUCUAUAAUCUCUCACAGAUGAAUGUUAUAAUUUGCAAUGGAUAUGGAACUCAUGUUUGUACUUUGUAACAUCUGUAACCUCAAAAUGCAAUUCCUCUUGGAGAUAUGAAUUGUUUUGGCCAUAUGAUGCAAGCAAUUAUUUUGCAUUGUUUUAUGGAUUUCAUUCCUAUGGUGCAGAGUGCAGCCAAUUCUUUUGGUCAUAUCACACUUCAGCCACAUCUUUUUGCAUCAAGAUUAUUUGCCUCUUUUUCGUGAUAGUAAUACAACAAAUAUACACCACCAGCCAAAGAAUAUGAGCUUGGCAAAAAGACAAACGUAACAUUCUUGAAAUCGAAAAUAUUGGCAUCACAAUGUGCUAAACUAAAAAACAAGAUAUUUGGACCCUCUCAAGCAGAAUCUUCUCUCCAUGCUUCUCCGGAAGCAAUUCUAUGUUUUUAAUUUCCUAUCAAAAUACAUUUAUUAAUCAUGAAAUAAACUAAGUCAUUAAAGCCAAAUAGAGGGUUGAGAUUUUGCAUGAGAGCCAGACUCGAGAGGAUCCUUGAUGAAAGACAAGUGAGAAGCUUCUUAAGAAAAACGUAUGUUUCACAUAUUGAUCUGAAUCGGAAGAUUACUUUAGGACUUAUUUUUUGUUCUGUCCUAAUUUCAAGAAUACUUAAUAUUAUAUUGAAUUAGAGAACAUAACAAUUAUUUCUUUCAAAAUAAAAUGAACCACAUACCCAUUACAGCAUGUUUGGAUAACAUUAAAAAGUCUGUUUAAUUACAUUUGAAACAGAAAUCCCACUUUCUCAAAUAAAAAAAGUGAAAGAAAUUUCAUCCUUUUUAUGUUCACCAGAAUACACACUUAAUUAUGUAACUAUGCCAUGGAUCCUCCUACACCAAAAUUCCCAUCAAGACUAUUAGUAUAAUAUUAUUCUUUUGAGAGCACUAUCACAGUAUAAAGAGGGUCCGGUUCCUCUGCACUUAUUUAUUUAUUUUAUGCCUUUCCAUCCUAGAUGUGUAUUGAAUCGGUGUUGAAUCAUGCAAAUUUGGCAGGAGGUGCUCUGUAAUAUGCAGGCACAGUUACUGGGAAGAACAUUUGUCUGAUUCCUUCAGCCUUAAUAAUAGGAAAUAUAAUACCAGAUGCACCCUGAAAUGUUAAUAAAAUUUUUGAUUCAGAAUCAUAAAUUCAAUUCUACCAUUAAUCACUAAUAUACAGAACUUGUUCCACCAUAGAUUAGCAUUGGUAUCUGAGAAAAAAAGAGAUAUACUAACCGAAAUCAAUCUAGCUCCAAUCCACAUGCGUUUUGGAGAAGGAAAUGGUACCAAUAAACGACCAACACCAUAAAUAGCCACGGCAAAGAAGUGGAGAACUAAGCUUAAUGGCUUUGGAUUUAGACCAGAGAGAAGAGCUAUUGGUCCAUCUGAGAAAACACCUCCAAGUGUCAAAUAAUCAAAACAUGCCUGCCUCAUUUCCUUACUAGCUGGAUCAGGGGAAGCACAAAACACCUUGUAUAAUGCCCCAGCUAAUGUGUUUAUUGUAGAUGCCACUGGCUGCAAACAAAACCAAGUUGUUUCUCAUUAAGUUACUAAUCAAACAUGACAAAGGGUAUUUAGCAAGUUAAGAAUACAAGAGAGAGCUUAAGGAGGCAGGUAACACUUUAUAAAUUGUAUAUUAAGAGUCUGUUUGGAUACGAGCUUAUUAAGGUCUAUUUACUGGAAAAAGCACUAAAUAUGCUCCACUUGAUAAGUGCUAUUUGGUUUGCAUCCGAACGAGUCUACUUACCUUGCGAAGGGUGUAGAAUGAUUCCAGAUAUUUGCAAAGAGAAGAAGCACAAUGCAGAUCCUGCAAAGGCCUAAGAAGAUCCCUUAACAAAACAAUGUCAGACAAAGCAACAGUCAUUCCUCCUCCAGUUAACGGGUGGCGCAUGUUGAAGGCGUCUCCCAUCAGAAGGGCACCGGGUGUGGGCUGAGGAGAUGCAGGCAUGCUUCUGUUUGGCAUGCUUCUUAUGCUUCCUUUAUCAACCGCUGCUACAAAUGCAGAUUGCAGCUCUUGCGGAACCUGAAACACAGUUCAAUUCCCUUCCAUUAGUUGCAGAAACGUUUGCAGCCGCAACAUAAGGAGUUAUGGAGCCCCCGCAUCAGCAUCGCGGCCACUCCAACCUGCAUUUGUCCGUAAUUUCACAAUGCACCAACGACCGCGACCCUAACCGCAAGAAUGAUUAUUGUAAGAUGUAAGAAUGAAUGAUUAUUGUACCUGAGGAGCUACUAUUGUUUUCAAAUAAUGAGCCAUGUCACCAUUACCAAUGGAUGGUAAUUUUUGGCCAGGCACAUCAACCAAACACCGAAUCUCAGUGCUGCUAAUGGGGUAAAACAAGAUGGGAGAAGGAUCAGCCAAGACAACAUGGCCAUGGUUUGCAUGUGGAAGGUUGCAGUUUUCCAGAACUAGACCAACAAAAUGAGAUGGUACAUCAACCUGUACAAAUAAGUGUACUCAUCAUGUGUCAAGCAACAAUGAACUAUAAUUGAAAAAAGAUAAAACCAUGUAGGUGCAAUAACAUAAUAUGUUUGGAUCCACUUUUAUUCUUCUCAGAAUUGGUACCCUCUCCACAGAAGCUGCUCUUAGUAUGUGUUUGGUUCCACGUUUGAGAGUAUUAGAAUCACUUCUAAUUGACUAGAAUCACUUCUAGGUGGUUCUAUAGAUGUUUGGCAAUCAACUUACAUCAUGUUUGGAUUCACGUUUCAAAUCUUCCAAAAUCACUUCUACUAAAAUGCUACUAGUAGCUUCUCUCGGAAUAAAUUCUCCUUCCAACAUGACAAUCUACCGUGUAUCCAAACACACUUAAGAGAAUUGAUUUUGGGAGUGCAUAGAAGCUAGAAAUCAAUAGGGGGAGUAGCUUAUGUGGUGUACAUAUGAGAUUUCAUAACUGGAUUUCACAAAAUUAUCCUAUCGAAAUCACUUUUCCUAUUUUAAACGAAUCCAAACAAAAAUCAUUUCACUUUCAACUCACUUUUUACCAUAAUCAGAAUUACCAAAAUCAAUUUUAUCCAAAAUUUAUUCUGAGAACACUGAUCCAAACACAUGUGAAUCAACCUGAGUUCUUUUCUGAAGCACAUCUCCACAAACGUGUAAAUCUACCAAGUUUCCAAAUACACAUUAAACAAACAAUCAAUAAUC
rnacentral:lncRNA from 1 species